rnacentral:rRNA from 1 species
GAUGAACGCUGGCGGCGUGCCUAAUACAUGCAAGUCGAGCGAAUAGAUUAAGAGCUUGCUCUUAUGAAGUUAGCGGCGGACGGGUGAGUAACACGUGGGUAGCCUGCCCAUAAGACUAGGAUAACUCCGGGAAACCGGGGCUAAUACCGGAUAACAUUUUGAACCGCAUGGUUCGAAACUGAAAGGCGGCUUCGGCUGUCACUUAUGGAUGGACCCGCGUCGCAUUAGCUAGUUGGUGAGGUAACGGCUCACCAAGGCAACGAUGCGUAGCCGACCUGAGAGGGUGAUCGGCCACACUGGGACUGAGACACGGCCCAGACUCCUACGGGAGGCAGCAGUAGGGAAUCUUCCGCAAUGGACGAAAGUCUGACGGAGCAACGCCGCGUGAGUGAUGAAGGCUUUCGGGUCGUAAAACUCUGUUGUUAGGGAAGAACAAGUGCUAGUUGAAUAAGCUGGCACCUUGACGGUACCUAACCAGAAAGCCACGGCUAACUACGUGCCAGCCGCCGCAGUAA